AUGCAAACUUAGCAAUUGUGCCAAAAAAGUGACAGCUUUGACAAGGAAAUAUAUAUCCAUAUAUAACAGUUACUGGUACUGUAUGAAUGCAGUGAAAGGAUCCAGAUGAACAGAUGAAGAGAUUAAGUACAAUGUACAUCAAUUACUUGGAUGAAGAGAAUCUGCAACAUGGGGAAAUAAUGUUCCUAUAGAAAAGUCAAAGAAUGUAUACAUGUGAGAUUCUGAAGUAGCCGUACAUGAUGAGUAGGAAUUUGAAGUGAAUUAUGGGAAAAGUGAAAUGGUAAAAAAGAAACUGCUAGCGCUACUGUGCAGACUACCAUCAAUCAACAUGAUCAACAAAAUCAAGUAAUCCUUCUGAAGAUGGAGUAGUACACAAGCACAAUUUUUUUAAAGAAAGAAAAGUCAAUGGAAUGAAAGCCAAAGAAAAGGGAUGUAUUAGUAUGGUAGCCUGUCUGCCAACACCUUGUAGAUGAGAUUCUAGCACAUAUUGUGUGAAAUGGUUCUCUUAAUUGACAUGAGAAGGUCACUAUUUUUUAUCAAGAUAAAAAUUACUUGUAUGUCUUGUAAUAACAUUAUUUAAUAUAUCCCUUUCAUAGCACACAUGUUCGUUUCAAAGAGAAGAAAACAUUUAUAAUUUUUCAAGGUCAAUAAUCUCAUGGAUGAAAUGCAAACUGUACUAUUUGAAAUAGGUGGUAUAGGUAUUUCAGAGUCUGUAUUACAGCUUGCCAUUUUAUUGUUGGAGGGAAUAUUCUCAUCAAAUAAACUAUGUAAAGAUUUGUUUUUUAAUACAAAGUAUUUUUAUAAGUAAUAACUUCAUUUCAACUUACAAUGAACAGUUAAUCAAUGCAUCUCACUUUGUAUCUAAUGCAUUUUUAGAACACAAAUUUGUGGUUUAAAACAUGUUGUAAUAGUUUAAUAAUGCUAUUCAUUUUUUUUAAUUGACAAGAAAUGAAAAUGUAAUGAUUAUUUCAAAAUAGUGUUUUAUUCCUCUUAUGUAUAUUUAUAGAUAUGUAAAAGAUUGUUAUUUUUAUUGAUGUUAUUUUUGUGUACAAAAUACUAGUUAUUUAUUACUUUAUACAAAACUAAUGUUGUGAAGAUUGAUAAUAAUAGAAGUCCUUAUGCAUAUAUUGAACAGUAUACAAAUGUCACCAAUGUAAUACACAUUUACAAAUAAAAUGAAAUUUUACAUGACUUGCACAUAUUUGCAUUAUUUGUUACAGUUAUAACAAAUCUAAUUCAUUGUAUUUAUUGUUUCCAAUUUUUAUUGUCUAUUCAAACAUGGAAAAAUUAUAUGUGUAAUGAUGUUAAAGACACAAGAAUAUGAAUUAAAAUAAGACUGUAUGAACUACCUUUAGAUUUAUGAAUUCAGUAGACAGUGACUGUGACAAAUGUGUAUUUAGGAUAGAGAUCUUAGACAUGAGAAGAAAAGGGGUUGUUUUACAAACUUUUUUUUGCAUGGGGAAAUAUGGACAUUUUUAUACAACAACAAAUGAAGUUACUGGAAUUGUGAAGUCUACGUGUCUUCUGUGAGUAGACAUCUUUUGAAACAAAGGUAGCUUGGGGCCAGAAAUAUUCUAGACCCAGUAGUAAUGGUCUUUUGCACAAUGUCAUAGUCACUGUAUAUCAAAGUAUUAAAUACUUACCAAUAAUUGUUUGUAACCUCAGAGUAUGAUCCUUACACAGGUUAAUACAGGUCAAGGCCAUAGGGUUUAGAAAUGUAAUAAAUAUUCAGAUAAACACAUAA